rnacentral:rRNA from 1 species
CCUACGGGAGGCAGCAGUGAGGAAUAUUGGUCAAUGGACGCGAGUCUGAACCAGCCAAGUAGCGUGAAGGAUGACUGCCCUAUGGGUUGUAAACUUCUUUUAUAUGGGAAUAAAAUGUUCCACGUGUGGGGUUUUGUAUGUACCAUAUGAAUAAGGAUCGGCUAACUCCGUGCCAGCAGCCGCGGUAAUACGGAGGAUACGAGCGUUAUCCGGAUUUAUUGGGUUUAAAGGGUGCGUAGGUGGAUUGUUAAGUUAGUGGUGAAAUUUUGGGGCUCAACCGUAACAGUGCAGUUGAAACUGGCAGUCUUGAGUAUAGUAGAGGUAGGCGGAAUGCGUGGUGUAGCGGUGAAAUGCAUAGAGAUCACGAAGAACUCCGAUUGCGAAGGCAGCUCACUGGACUGCAACUGACACUGAGGCUCGAAAGUGUGGGUAUCAAACAGGAUUAGAUACCCGUGUAGUC